UGAAAGCCAGGAAGAAAAAGAAAUGGUAAUCGAGAUUGAAGCCCUGCAGGAGGUCUUGGAGAAGCUGAGGAGCAGCCAGCUGCCUCUUGAAAAGAAGUUAGGGUGGGUGCCUUCGUGUGAUGCAGGUGAACAGUGUGCAGUGCGCAA